AGUGAACGCUGGCGGUAGGCCUAACACAUGCAAGUCGAACGGCAGCACAGUAAGAGCUUGCUCUUACGGGUGGCGAGUGGCGGACGGGUGAGGAAUACAUCGGAAUCUACUUUUUCGUGGGGGAUAACGUAGGGAAACUUACGCUAAUACCGCAUACGACCUACGGGUGAAAGCAGGGGAUCUUCGGACCUUGCGCGAUUGAAUGAGCCGAUGUCGGAUUAGCCAGUUGGCGGGGUAAAGGCCCACCAAGGCGACGAUCCGUAGCUGGUCUGAGAGGAUGAUCAGCCACACUGGAACUGAGACACGGUCCAGACUCCUACGGGAGGCAGCAGUGGGGAAUAUUGGACAAUGGGCGCAAGCCUGAUCCAGCCAUACCGCGUGGGUGAAGAAGGCCUUCGGGUUGUAAAGCCCUUUAGUUGGGAAAGAAAAGCAGCAGGUUAAUACCCCGCUGUUCUGACGGUACCCAAAGAAUAAGCACCGGCUAACUUCGUG
rnacentral:rRNA from 1 species